rnacentral:lncRNA from 1 species
CCCUGAGCUCUCAACAUCAGAUGAUAAGGUAGGGCUGUGAAAUGCUACACUCUGCUCUGGAGCCUUGAUAGUAAGAGAGCUUCCCCUACUUCGUCUGGUACCAGAACCACUGCUACAUCCAGUACCAGGGACAUUUCUGUGCCUGAGAUGCCAAGAGCCCUGGAGCUGUCAACACUCAGCACCACAUCCCAGGAGCUGUGAUGACAUCAUAAGACCUAUAGAUAACACCACCAACCCCGUGUCUCACGUGGGCCCCAGCUCCCCACCAGUCCCAAGACUGAAGACACUCACCUCCAAUCUGGUCUCCUAACUCCUCUCUCCAGGUUUCGAUGAUGAAAGAGAAGGUGCCCUGGUUGGGUGAAGGAAGGGGGAGAUGAAAGAUGAAAGACAGUGGUUAGGAAACGAGGUCUCACUAUGUUACUGAGACUGGUCUCAAACUGCCGGGCUCAGGAGAUCCUCCUGCCUAGACCUCCCAAAGUGCUGGAAUUACAGUGUGAGCGACUGGACGUGGCUUGCUUUAUUGAGCACUUACUACGUGAUGAGGAGUCUGUGGUCAGAGGGAGAUGUAUUUUUCACAGAUCACGCAACACACAGGAAGA